rnacentral:rRNA from 1 species
AGUGAACGCUGGCGGUAGGCCUAACACAUGCAAGUCGAACGGCAGCACAGUAAGAGCUUGCUCUUACGGGUGGCGAGUGGCGGACGGGUGAGGAAUACAUCGGAAUCUACUUUUUCGUGGGGGAUAACGUAGGGAAACUUACGCUAAUACCGCAUACGACCUACGGGUGAAAGCAGGGGAUCCUCGGACCUUGCGCGUUUGAAUGAGCCGAUGUCGGAUUAGCUAGUUGGCGGGGUAAAGGCCCACCAAGGCGACGAUCCGUAGCUGGUCUGAGAGGAUGAUCAGCCACACUGGAACUGAGACACGGUCCAGACUCCUACGGGAGGCAGCAGUGGGGAAUAUUGGACAAUGGGCGCAAGCCUGAUCCAGCCAUACCGCGUGGGUGAAGAAGGCCUUCGGGUUGUAAAGCCCUUUUGUUGGGAAAGAAAAGCAGCAGGUUAAUACCCCGCUGUUCUGACGGUACCCAAAGAAUAAGCACCGGCUAACUUCGUG